CCCCCUCACCGCCAUAUUUAAAGAAGAGCUCGUACGAAAGUACGGGCUUUUUUUUCG
rnacentral:tRNA from 1 species